ensembl:lncRNA
GGCCAGAUGUAAUAAAUGUAAUUGGUCACAAACGCAAGUAUAAAUCAGGGUUUUCUCCAUAAUUUAUUAAUAUGUAAAUACCCUUAAAUGUCCACUCCCAACACAUAUUACAAUAAAAUUGAUUUGCAGACUUGUUAGCUGGCUUUGUAUACCAUGAAUGCCCAUGAUGGAUGGAGGAUGGAGCCCUUUUCAGACCUGUAAUAGGGCGCUGUCGUGUGGUGACAGUGAUGAUCACCUUUAAUUCACCUUGUUAAUUCACAACAAUAUAGUCAGAAGCCACUCUGUAUUUGGGACAAAUUCCUGUCAUUGUGUUCUUUUGAAUUAGAGUUUGGUCAAAUCACACCAUGAUCUUCAUCUCAUGCCAACUGGCAUACAAAUUACAUCAAAGAUGCCAUUUGAUUUCAUUGUAGCUGUGCAAACACAUGCAUUUCCUGAAAACAGAUGAGAAUGGCUUCUCUGGCAGGACACGUGUCAGCGUCAAUCUUCUCUGUUGGCUGCAGCUUGUGCGAGGGCCAAAUGGGCAGGAGGGUUGGAAACAUGGGCUGUGUUGACUAUAGUACUGAAUAGAGCACUUCAGAGAUGGAAAAGAUCUGUAUGCUGGGUGACACCACAUGAAUUUGGAUCUAAAGCAAGAAGCAGCUACACACAUUUCUGCGAUGGACUCCUCUGGCUCCGGACCUUCCCCUGAGGUGGCAGCAUCUGCUCCAGCUUUCCCUGAGUUGGUGGAGUCCACAUCCAAGACACGACUGAAGUGGUCGUAA